rnacentral:rRNA from 1 species
UACGUAGGGGGCAAGCGUUGUCCGGAAUCAUUGGGCGUAAAGCGCGUGUAGGCGGCUCGAUAAGUCUGCUGUGAAAGUUCAGGGCUCAACCCUGAAAUGCCGGUGGAAACUGUCGAGCUAGAGUCCGGAAGAGGCGAGUGGAAUUCCUGGUGUAGCGGUGAAAUGCGCAGAUAUCAGGAGGAACACCGGUGGCGAAGGCGGCUCACUGGCUCAUUUCUGACGCUCAGGCGCGACAGCGUGGGGGAUCAAACAGG